rnacentral:misc_RNA from 1 species
UCCGGUUUGGCACCGGCAGUCCCUCUAGAGUCCCCGGCAUUACCCGCUGGCAACUAGGGGCAGGGGUUGCGCUCGUUGCGCCACUUAAGGCAACACCUCACGGCACGAGCUGACGACGGCCAUGCAGCACCUGCGCGGGCUCCCGAAGGAGCACCGUGUUUCCACGGCUUCACCCCGCAUGUCAAGCCCUGGUAAGGUUCUUCGCGUCGCGUCGAAUUAAGCCACAUGCUCCGCCGCUUGUGCGGGCCCCCGUCAAUUCCUUUGAGUUUUAGCCUUGCGGCCGUACUCCCCAGGCGGGGUGCUUAAUGCGUUAGCUUCGGCACAGAGGGGGUUGAUCGUCCCCCCACACCUAGCACCCAACGUUUACGGCGUGGACUAC